AGAGUAAGAAGCUUUAAAAGGCCUACCUUUUGUAUCAGGGGAGUUUAAAAGUUUAAAUAUUGUUAGACCGAAUCGGGCAGAGCCUUUUGUUAGUACAAUUGUAGUGUGAUUUAUAGUUGGUAAAUGUUAUGUGGUGAAAAUUGUACGGUGCCCGUAUUAGCUGUUUGUUUUUUACUUUAGGGGUAAGCUCUUAUAAGUUUAAGCACUAAAUAAGGGCAGGGGAAUUAGGCUUUAGAUUAGCCAUAUUGUUAAAUUGUUUUAAAUAAUUUUGUGUUUAAUUUUAAGAAGUUAAAGUUAAAAGACUAGUGUCACAGGUAGGACUGGGGCUAAAUAAUGAAUUUAUUGAAUAUUGAGCGGAAUAUUUAAAUAACUCGGGUCAAGUUGGAAUGUUUAGCAAAAACAUUUUUUUUUGGUUAAGAAAAAGUAAGGCCUGCCCAGUGAGUAUUUAACGGCUGCGGUAUUUUGACUGUGCUAAGGUAGCAUAAUCAUUUGUUUCUUAAUUGGUAACUUGAAUGAAAGGUUAAACUAACUUGUUUGGUUUGUAAGGUUCAGUAAGAAAUUAAAGUUUAGGUAAGAAUUCUUUGAUUGAUUAGGGGACGAUAAGACCCUAGAAGCUUUAAAAUUAGGAUAUUUAUUUGUUUAAAAAUUUAGCUUUUUUUACUGGGGCGGUAAAAGUAUAUAAACUAUUUUAGUAAUGGUGGAUCCUUAAAAUAAAGAAAAAACGGAAAAGUUACUCUAGGGGUAACAGUGCAAUAUUUUUGGAGAGACCUUAUCGAUAAGUAUGUUUGCAACCUCGAUGUUGAAUUAAAAUAUCUGCAUGAAGCAGAAGGUAUGUAAGAAGGUUUGUUCAACC
rnacentral:rRNA from 1 species